rnacentral:rRNA from 1 species
UACGUAGGGUGCAAGCGUUAAUCGGAAUUACUGGGCGUAAAGCGUGCGCAGGCGGUUGCGCAAGACCGAUGUGAAAUCCCCGGGCUUAACCUGGGAAUGGCAUUGGUGACUGCACGGCUAGAGUGUGUCAGAGGGGGGUAGAAUUCCACGUGUAGCAGUGAAAUGCGUAGAGAUGUGGAGGAAUACCGAUGGCGAAGGCAGCCCCCUGGGAUAACACUGACGCUCAUGCACGAAAGCGUGGGGAGCAAACAGG